AUGAACGCUAGCUACAGGCUUAACACAUGCAAGUCGAGGGGCAGCAUGGUCUUAGCUUGCUAAGGCCGAUGGCGACCGGCGCACGGGUGAGUAACACGUAUCCAACCUGCCGUCUACUCUUGGACAGCCUUCUGAAAGGAAGAUUAAUACAAGAUGGCAUCAUGAGUCCGCAUGUUCACAUGAUUAAAGGUAUUCCGGUAGACGAUGGGGAUGCGUUCCAUUAGAUAGUAGGCGGGGUAACGGCCCACCUAGUCUUCGAUGGAUAGGGGUUCUGAGAGGAAGGUCCCCCACAUUGGAACUGAGACACGGUCCAAACUCCUACGGGAGGCAGCAGUGAGGAAUAUUGGUCAAUGGGCGAGAGCCUGAACCAGCCAAGUAGCGUGAAGGAUGACUGCCCUAUGGGUUGUAAACUUCUUUUAUAAAGGAAUAAAGUCGGGUAUGGAUACCCGUUUGCAUGUACUUUAUGAAUAAGGAUCGGCUAACUCCGUGCCAGCAGCCGCGGUAAUACGGAGGAUUCGAGCGUUAUCCGGAUUUAUUGGGUUUAAAGGGAGCGUAGAUGGAUGUUUAAGUCAGUUGUGAAAGUUUGCGGCUCAACCGUAAAAUUGCAGUUGAUACUGGAUAUCUUGAGUGCAGUUGAGGCAGGCGGAAUUCGUGGUGUAGCGGUGAAAUGCUUAGAUAUCACGAAGAACUCCGAUUGCGAAGGCAGCCUGCUAAGCUGCAACUGACAUUGAGGCUCGAAAGUGUGGGUAUCAAACAGGAUUAGAUACCCUGGUAGUCCACACGGUAAACGAUGAAUACUCGCUGUUUGCGAUAUACGGCAAGCGGCCAAGCGAAAGCGUUAAGUAUUCCACCUGGGGAGUACGCCGGCAACGGUGAAACUCAAAGGAAUUGACGGGGGCCCGCACAAGCGGAGGAACAUGUGGUUUAAUUCGAUGAUACGCGAGGAACCUUACCCGGGCUUAAAUUGCAGAUGAAUUACGGUGAAAGCCGUAAGCCGCAAGGCAUCUGUGAAGGUGCUGCAUGGUUGUCGUCAGCUCGUGCCGUGAGGUGUCGGCUUAAGUGCCAUAACGAGCGCAACCCUUGUUGUCAGUUACUAACAGGUUCCGCUGAGGACUCUGACAAGACUGCCAUCGUAAGAUGUGAGGAAGGUGGGGAUGACGUCAAAUCAGCACGGCCCUUACGUCCGGGGCUACACACGUGUUACAAUGGGGGGGUACAGAGGGCCGCUACCACGCGAGUGGAUGCCAAUCCCCAAAACCUCUCUCAGUUCGGACUGGAGUCUGCAACCCGACUCCACGAAGCUGGAUUCGCUAGUAAUCGCGCAUCAGCCACGGCGCGGUGAAUACGUUCCCGGGCCUUGUACACACCGCCCGUCAAGCCAUGGGAGCCGGGGGUACCUGAAGUGCGUAACCGCGAGGAGCGCCCUAGGGUAAAACUGGUGACUGGGGCU
rnacentral:rRNA from 1 species